CCUACGGGGGGCUGCAGUGAGGAAUAUUGGUCAAUGGGCGGAAGCCUGAACCAGCCAUGCCGCGUGCAGGAAGACGGCCCUACGGGUUGUAAACUGCUUUUCCGGGGGAAGAAUAAUCCCGAUUCGUCGGGAGACGACGGUACCCCGGGAAUAAGGAUCGGCUAACUCCGUGCCAGCAGCCGCGGUAAUACGGAGGAUCCGAGCGUUAUCCGGAUUUACGGGGUUUAAAGGGUGCGUAGGCGGCCCCCUAGAAAGGCUGCGGCUCAACCGUAGGACUGCCGUUGAUACUGGGGGCCUUGGAUUCGGUCGAGGCGGGCGGAAUGCGUGGUGUAGCGGUGAAAUGCUUAGAUAUCACGCAGAACGCCGAUUGCGAAGGCAGCUCGCCGGGCCGUUAUCGACGCUGAGGCACGAAAGCGUGGGGAUCGAACAGGAUUAGAUACCCCAGUAGUC
rnacentral:rRNA from 1 species